rnacentral:rRNA from 1 species
GACGAACGCUGGCGGCGGGCUUAACACAUGCAAGUCGAACGGAAAGGCCGUGCUUUUGUGGGGUGCUCGAGUGGCGAACGGGGGAGUAACACGUGAGUAACCUGCCCCUGACUUUGGGAUAACUUCAGGCAACUGGGGCUAAUACCGGAUAGGAGCUCCUGCUGCUUGGUGGGGGUUGGACAGUUUCGGCGGUUGGGGAUGGACUCGCGGAUUAUCAGCUUGUUGGUGGGGUAGUGGCUUACCAAGGCUUUGACGGGUAGCCGGCCUGAGAGGGUGACCGGCCACAUUGGGACUGAGAUACGGCCCAGACUCCUAUGGGAGGCAGCAGUGGGGAAUAUUGCACAAUGGGCGGAAGCCUGAUGCAGCAACGCCGCGUGCGGGAUGACGGCCUUCGGGUUGUAAACCGCUUUCGCCUGUGACGAAGCGUUAGUGACGGUAAUGGGUAAAGAAGCACCGGCUAACUACGUG